UUGACUUUGUUUUUGCUGAACUUUGUUUUUCCGAGACCCUCUCUCCCCCAUAGGCUCAGUUUCACUCUGCCAAUUGCACUAGGCCAGUUUCGGUGGCAGAAAAGGCCACAUGUGCUUCCUGUAGGCCCCCUGGGCAGAAGCAUGCAGUGGUGUUUCCUCCUGCUCUGGGUGCAGGGGCUGAAUCAGGUCCACCUUACUGCCUCAGUUGCUGCUACAGGUAGAAUUUUAACAGUAGGGAACAUUUCUGCAGAGGAAGGUGAUUCUGUCACUCUGCAAUGUCACCUUUCCUCCACCGCUGCCAAAGUGACUCAGGUCAACUGGGAACAGCAGGAUAAACUUCUGGCCAGUCGUCACGCUGAAUAUGGCUGGCAUGUCUACACUACCUUCAGGGAGCAAAUGGUCCCAGGCCCUGACCUGGGCCUAACCCUCCAGUCACUGACCAAGAAUGACACAGGGGAGUACUUCUGUACUUUUUAUACUUACCCGGAUGGGAUUUACAAAGAACGGCUCUUUCUCGAAGUCUUACAAAGGUCAGUGCCUGAGCACAGCAGUGACUUCCAGAUGGUGUUGGCUGGAGCCCUGGUCGCAGUGCUGGUCAUCUGCAUGGCAGUUAGCAUGGUGGUUGCAUUGGUCCGAAAGAAGAAAUCCCUUAGAUUCCAUGCUGUGGAAAGUAACAUCAGGCAAAGGGCAUCUGAACAAGUGGAUUGGGGUCCCAGUGUGCUAUCAUCCCCUGGAAGCUGUGUCCUGGUGGAAACUGGUUCUUCUGUCCUCUGCAGAGAGCAGGAGGGAGAGGACUGUGCCGAGUCACAUGAUUACUUCAAUGUCCUGAGUUACCGAAGCCUGGGUAGCUUCAGCUUCUUGGAAGAGACUGUUUAGCUUUUGGGGACUUUGUUGAACAAGACAACUCAACUCCUACCUCUUCUUGGAUUGUUAUUUUAAUUUUUCUCACUUUUAUACUAAACAGCCACCAGGUUCCAGAUGCUACCAUGAUGCCAACCAGACUUCCCUGGACGGACAACUCCACCAAUGUGUCCUGGAGCUCUGAUUCCCCAGAGCCCCACCCCACUAGGGAGAGACAGGCUGUGAAUAUGGAUCAACCUGUUAACUUCCAUGUUCAGAGGGGAAGCAAUUACAGAAUCCAGACUUCCACUUUCUGCAUUCCACAAUGACCUUGGGUCCAUACUCCCAGAGGGAUAAAAAAAUAGCAAAGCUAUCAGGGAAGGGGAUGGGAUACAGAGUUCUGAUGGUGGGAAUUAUGUGUAGUUGUACCCCGAUUAUACUAUGGUUUUGUCAAUGUUUCCUUUUUAUAAAUAAAAAAUAAAAAGAAAGAUUUCUAUAUACUAUAAAAAUAAUAAGAAGCCCUUCUCAUAGAGA